GGCCUGUAUUUUUAUAGGUUGUGAAUAUCCUUUUAUUCUCACCUUUCCCUCACCUAGCAGUAACUGGAAGGUGCUAAUUGGCCCAUCUAUGAGCACCUAAAACGCUCCAUCUGAAAAUGCCCACCUCCUGCCCAUGCACCUGUAAGUUGUCCAUCCCUGCACUCUCUGGCCUCCCACCCUCUAGGGGAGGUCUGCUUCCUUCACUUUGGAGAGGGCUGCUGCGCAAGCCAUUGUAGCCCCAUUUUAUAUACAAGGAAACUGAGGCAAGCAUACAGUGAAACAACUUGGCUGAGCUAGAACAGAGUCUCAGGACUACCUGUCAAAGAAGAUAAAUGGACUAGUCAAGGAAAGUUGGGGAGGAAUUCAAACCACAUGCCUGGCCUAGGCUGACAGUGAGGCUUAAUGCAGGUAACCACACUUCACAUCCUGUGCCGGGUUUGAAGUGCUCUGGUGAUCUGCAAAGAGAGCCUCAACACAGCCAACUCACUGCCAAAAAAGAAAUUCUCACUCAGAAUAUUGGCCAAACAACAUUUUUAUUUGAAAGAAACCAAGCCAAAUAAAAACACAUAGUAUUUUCUUCUCAUGCCUUUCCUUGCCUGGGAUAUUUAUUUAUUUACUUUUCUUUCAUUCUCCUGACCACCUCUGACAUUGUUUUUAUUUUGAGGAGAUUUAAAAAUAACUUCCCUGUACUCAUUCAUCUUGCUCUCCUGAGAUAGAGGGAAUUUUCACAUUUUCCAGCCAGUUUUAAUGUAGCAGAAACAAUCAGAGGUGCUGCUGUGACUUUUGGUGUAUUAGAAAAGGGGAGGGCUGGGGCAGGUGGGCUUGGCCAAUAAAAUACAGCUGGGGAACAGGAAACUGCAGAGAGAUUUCCCAGACUUGGCCUGCGCUGCAGCCCCGCUGUGCUCUCCUGUGAAGCUGCACCAGGCCUCUGGGCUGAAUUCCCACCUGGGCUUGAGAGGGCCCUCCCAUGUUGGUCCUUCUUGCUCCCUAGUGCAAGACUUCCUUUGCCCACAACGACACUGCCUCCCAUGUACAGAACAGUGCUAUCGCUAUGACUCAUUUCUGCAUCUUGAUUGCUGAGAUCACUGAUCAGGUUUGUGACAAAACAGCAUCAAAUCUGAAGAGUUGUGUCCUCCCCGCACCACCCCCCUCGCCCCCACCAUUAUUUGCUCACCUUGAAGGUAAUCCAGGAUAGGAGUCCCUCUGAAGCAAACAGAACAUCCAUCAAAGACCCGAAAGAACAUAAGGGCUCUGGAGUUGCUACUGUUCAAGAUUUGCUGUGCCUGAAACCCACACUUAAGAAACUUCAUUUACAUACAGACCUGAAGAACAUCAUAAAAUUCUGGACUUUGAACUUGAUGCCAUAAUCUAUGAGAUAACAAACCUCCAAAAUGGCCUCCUAUGGAGUUUUAUAGUGUCCUCCCAUACUGAAUAGGGCUGGCCUUGGUAGUUAACGAACUACUAGAGAAAAAACUAUGUCUGUCUUUCAAAGCAAGGCCACAAAUGACACUUUAGAUUUUUCUUUGCUCUCUGUCAUAUCACUCACUCUGGGAAAGCCAACUUCCAACCUUACAGGGAGGUCGACUUAGAGAGGAAUGGAAGUGUCUUGUCCACAACCACGUGAGUGAGCCUUCUGGAUAGUGGGUCCUCCAGUCCUAUUCAAGCCUUCACAUGGGACAUUUUGACUGAAACUUCGUGGCUGACAUUUUGACUGAAACUUUGUGGGACACCCUAAGAGAGAAGCACUCACCUCCUGAAUUUUUGACUAACAGAACAGUGAAAGAUAAUACAUGGUUAUUGUUCAAUUUUAACAAGGGCAGCUACAUUUUGGAAUUAUUUGUUAUGAAGCAAUAGGUAACUGAAAUAAUUGGGAUUAGACUUUUGGAGGUCUUAGUUUGGAUGUGAGAGUAUUUUACAUGUGGGAGGAAUAUGAAUAAUUUGUGGCAAGAGGGCAGAAUCUAUAGAUUGUUUAAUGGCCACAAAUUCCUCUCCUCCCAGUAUGCAUGCAUGCUCCCUUUUCAAUGUAACAUUUCUGGCUCUCCCAUCCAGAGAUGGACCUUUGUUUUAAAAAAGCAUGUUAUUGAGGCUGGGUGUGGUGGCUCACACCUGUAAUCCUAGCACUUUGGGAGGCCUAGGCAGAUGGAUCACUUGAGGUCAGGAGUUCAAGAGCAGCCUGGCCAACAUGGUGAAACCCCGUCUCUACUAAAAAUACAAAAAUUAGGCAGGUGUGGUGGCAGGCGCCUGUAAUCCCUGCUAUUCAGGAGGCUGAGGUGGGAGAAUCACUUGAACCCAGGAGGCAGAGGUUGCAGUGAGCCGAGACUGUGCCAUUGCACUCCAGCCUGGGCAACAGGGCUAGACUCUGUCUCAAAAAAAAAAAGAAAAAUUAUUGAAUCUGGACAUCCUAGUGAAUCACUUUUCUAAAUAGAAUUGGCAGAAGUAAAUUUAUGUGACUUCUGAAACUAAGCCUUGCAAGGCCUUGCUGCUUCUUCCUUUGUCCUCUUGGAUGGCUGCCCUGAGAAGGCAUCUAGGAAAGUCAGUCCAGUCACCUAGAAGGUGAGAGGCCACAUGGAGAAGAACUCAGGCACCCCAACUGAUAGCCAAUAGCCUCUCCCAGACUUGUGAAUGACGCCAACUUCCAGCCCAGGCAGAUCUUUAGCUGAGUGUGGCUAUGCAAGCAAGCCUUGGCACAUUUGCCAGAGGAACCUUCAAGCCAACCUACACAAUUAGUUGCUAUUGUUAUGGGGUUGUAAGUUAAGCAGCAAAAGACAAAACAAACUUUAUUGUAACAAUUUAUAUAAAGUAUAGUCUUGAACUUGUUGUUUCUCAAUAAUAUCAAAAGCUUUAUUUCAAGAAAUUAUUGUUGAUGACAUCUUGGAAUAUUGUAGAAUAAUGGCCCUUAUGUUCUAUGUAGACACAACUUAAAACAGAAUUACUGGCCCUUUUUUUUUGUGGAAUCAGCCGCAUGCCCUGUGUACUUGCUCCAUAUUGUCUAUCCAAUACAAAAAACACAUACCU
rnacentral:lncRNA from 1 species